UACGUAGGGUGCAAGCGUUGUCCGGAAUUAUUGGGCGUAAAGAGCUCGUAGGCGGUUUGUCGCGUCUGCUGUGAAAACUCGGGGCUUAACUCCGGGCCUGCAGUGGGUACGGGCAGACUAGAGUGCGGUAGGGGGAGACUGGAAUCCUGGUGUAGCGGUGAAAUGCGCAGAUAUCAGGAGGAACACCGAUGGCGAAGGCAGGGUCUCUGGGCAUUAACUGACGCUGAGGAGCGAAAGCAUGGGGAGCGAACAGG
rnacentral:rRNA from 1 species